rnacentral:misc_RNA from 1 species
ACGUCCAAUAACACAGCUAUGAGUUGACAUUGCGCCGAAAUAAUAGACCCUGCUCUCGUAAUUAACUUGCUACAAAAUAGGAGGGACAAACGCUAUUUGUGGCUAUGCUGUUUGAUCGCAACAAUUACUACAACGAUUACCAUUCAUUGGACUAGUUGACAAGAUCAUCUGUUUACUUUGCUAAAAAAUAUUCUCCAAUAAACAGGCAUUUAUUGCAUAGAAAAUUACGAUCGCAUCUCCACUGAUCUUCUCAUCAACGAUGAUCCGCGCAGACGAUUUAAUUACUUGUGUGUACGUAUAUGUGUGUCAGAUUGCGUGAUCAAAAUUGCCUUCGCUCUACGCUAAAAGUAAUUGACCGAUUUGUAAUAAAAGACACACGUGUCAUUUACAUUGAUGGUAAAUGUUGUGUAACAACCAUAUUACGGCUGAAAUCCUUUACAAACUGCAUUUACAUGGCAGAGGUUAAAAACUACACAAAUUUUAUGAUUAGCACGAUGUACAAUUAAUCGUUUGAUGAUUUUCAACUAUGAAAUG